GGUUAUUUGAAACCAAUCCAUGGCAACGCUGGUGCUUGAUACACUGUGAAGUGAAUACAACAUUGAACAGUUACAGAUCUGGGACAGUCCCUUCUAUGAAAGUGCUGAAAGUAAAUUAAAAUCAGUCUCACAUGAAGUAUGUUCCAACCCACGUGGGAACUUGACUCUCUUAUCUGUCUAAAGAGUACUGGAUGAUAAAUUCCAUCCAUAUUCCAGACCUCUACUCAUGUCUGAGGUGAAUCAUAAAUUGUCUUAGUUUUAGGAUUCAAACUGUCUAACUUGUACUUGUGGUCCAUACAAGAAGCAAAUCCCUGUUUCCACUUUGCACACGGUGUUUCGUUUAAUCGAACUUUAUUUGCCUCACAGCCCCUUGUUUCCCUUACCAUUCAGUGAGAAUUCUUUUCCUUUCUUAAAGUCUAGUCUUGUUGUUUGACUGAACAGAGGUUAUCAACCAACACAUCCAGUCCCGACAUGAAGCUUUCAGUCCCAUGAUGUGUCUC
rnacentral:lncRNA from 1 species